GACGAACGCUGGCGGCGUGCUUAACACAUGCAAGUCGAACGGAAAGGCCCUGCUUUUGUGGGGUGCUCGAGUGGCGAACGGGUGAGUAACACGUGAGUAACCUGCCCUUGACUUUGGGAUAACUUCAGGAAACUGGGGCUAAUACCGGAUAGGAGCACCUGCUGCAUGGUGGGGGUUGGAAAGUUUCGGCGGUUGGGGAUGGACUCGCGGCUUAUCAGCUUGUUGGUGGGGUAGUGGCUUACCAAGGCUUUGACGGGUAGCCGGCCUGAGGGGGUGACCGGCCACAUUGGGACUGAGAUACGGCCCAGACUCCUACGGGAGGCAGCAGUGGGGAAUAUUGCACAAUGGGCGGAAGCCUGAUGCAGCAACGCCGCGUGCGGGAUGACGGCCUUCGGGUUGUAAACCGCUUUCGCCUGUGACGAAGCGUGAGUGACGGUAAUGGGUAAAGAAGCACCGGCUAACUACGUG
rnacentral:rRNA from 1 species